rnacentral:rRNA from 1 species
AACGAACGCUGGCGGCAGGCCUAACAUAUGCAAGUCGAGCGCCCCGCAAGGGGAGCGGCGGACGGGUGAGUAACGCGUGGGAACGUACCCUUUGCUACGGAAUAGCCUCGGGAAACUGGGAGUAAUACCGUAUGUGUCCUUCGGGAGAAAGAUUUAUCGGCAAGGGAUCGGCCCGCGUUGGAUUAGGUAGUUGGUGGGGUAAUGGCCUACCAAGCCGACGAUCCAUAGCUGGUUUGAGAGGAUGAUCAGCCACACUGGGACUGAGACACGGCCCAGACUCCUACGGGAGGCAGCAGUGGGGAAUCUUAGACAAUGGGCGCAAGCCUGAUCUAGCCAUGCCGCGUGAGCGAUGAAGGCCUUAGGGUUGUAAAGCUCUUUCAGGGGGGAAGAUAAUGACUGUACCCCCAGAAGAAGCCCCGGCUAACUCCGUG